UACGAAGGGGGCUAGCGUUGUUCGGAAUUACUGGGCGUAAAGCGCGCGCAGGCGGUCUUCCAAGUCAGUGGUGAAAGCCCGGAGCUCAACUCCGGAACUGCCAUUGAAACUGUUGGACUUGAGUAUGAGAGAGGUGAGUGGAAUUCCCAGUGUAGAGGUGAAAUUCGUAGAUAUUGGGAAGAACACCAGUGGCGAAGGCGGCUCACUGGCCCGGUACUGACGCUGAGGCACGAAAGCGUGGGGAGCAAACAGG
rnacentral:rRNA from 1 species